rnacentral:rRNA from 1 species
GAUGAACGCUGGCGGCGUGCCUAAUACAUGCAAGUCGAGCGAACAGACGAGGAGCUUGCUCCUCUGACGUUAGCGGCGGACGGGUGAGUAACACGUGGAUAACCUACCUAUAAGACUGGGAUAACUUCGGGAAACCGGAGCUAAUACCGGAUAAUAUAUUGAACCGCAUGGUUCAAUAGUGAAAGACGGUUUUGCUGUCACUUAUAGAUGGAUCCGCGCCGCAUUAGCUAGUUGGUAAGGUAACGGCUUACCAAGGCAACGAUGCGUAGCCGACCUGAGAGGGUGAUCGGCCACACUGGAACUGAGACACGGUCCAGACUCCUACGGGAGGCAGCAGUAGGGAAUAUUCCGCAAUGGGCGAAAGCCUGACGGAGCAACGCCGCGUGAGUGAUGAAGGUCUUAGGAUCGUAAAACUCUGUUAUUAGGGAAGAACAAAUGUGUAAGUAACUAUGCACGUCUUGACGGUACCUAAUCAGAAAGCCACGGCUAACUACGUG